GAUGAACGCUGACAGAAUGCUUAACACAUGCAAGUCAACUUGAACUUCGGUUUGGGUGGCGGACGGGUGAGUAACGCGUAAAGAACUUGCCUCACAGCUAGGGACAACAUUUGGAAACGAAUGCUAAUACCUGAUAUUAUGAUUUUAGGGCAUCCUAGAAUUAUGAAAGCUAUAUGCGCUGUGAGAGAGCUUUGCGUCCCAUUAGCUAGUUGGAGAGGUAACGGCUCACCAAGGCGAUGAUGGGUAGCCGGCCUGAGAGGGUGAACGGCCACAAGGGGACUGAGACACGGCCCUUACUCCUACGGGAGGCAGCAGUGGGGAAUAUUGGACAAUGGACCAAGAGUCUGAUCCAGCAAUUCUGUGUGCACGAUGAAGUUUUUCGGAAUGUAAAGUGCUUUCAGUUUGGAAGAAAAAAAUGACGGUACCAACAGAAGAAGUGACGGCUAAAUACGUG
rnacentral:rRNA from 1 species